GAGGAAUAUUGGUCAAUGGACGGAAGUCUGAACCAGCCAAGUAGCGUGCAGGAAGACGGCCCUAUGGGUUGUAAACUGCUUUUAUACGAGAAUAAUUUGAUGCACGUGUGCGUUAUUGCAUGUAUCGUACGAAUAAGGACCGGCUAAUUCCGUGCCAGCAGCCGCGGUAAUACGGAAGGUCCAGGCGUUAUCCGGAUUUAUUGGGUUUAAAGGGAGCGUAGGCAGGAGAUUAAGUGUGUUGUGAAAUGUAGACGCUCAACGUCUGAAUUGCAGCGCAUACUGGUUUCCUUGAGUACGCACAACGUUGGCGGAAUUCGUCGUGUAGCGGUGAAAUGCUUAGAUAUGACGAAGAACUCCGAUUGCGAAGGCAGCUGACGGGAGCGCAACUGACGCUUAAGCUCGAAGGUGCGGGUAUCAAACAGGAUUAGAUACCCUGGUAGUCCGCACAGUAAACGAUGGAUGCCCGCUGUUGGUACCUGGUAUCAGCGGCUAAGCGAAAGCAUUAAGCAUCCCACCUGGGGAGUACGCCGGCAACGGUG
rnacentral:rRNA from 1 species